UGCUUAAUUUUUGCUUUUGGAGGCUUUGAAUGUACCAAAGCUUUAUAUUUUUAUAUUGUCAAAGCUAUUAGCUUUUCUUUUUGUGACAUUGUUUGUUAGAAAGUCCUUCCUGGGAAAUGGCUUUUUAAAUGGGUCAAAAGGUUGCCUUUUCCUCCAUUGGGGCUCUCUAUUUUUGGUAAAUUCUAAACAAACAUCCUUUUCCCAAAUACCAUUUUCCCGGGAACAUCUGGAAUGCGCUUGCUUUUAUUUCUUCCUCCCCAGAGGACGGUGUGUUGGGGUGGGAAGAGGCUGUCACACUGAGAUGAUCUCUGGGUGGAGAAACUGGAGAGGGAAGGCCUGAGCUUCAGAAACAGCCCCUUCCCCAGCUUCAAGGUGGCCGUGCUCUGUUCUGAAAGAUGUCUGAUCAUUCCCACCAAAGAAAUGAAAACAUUGUCCAAAA
rnacentral:lncRNA from 1 species